rnacentral:misc_RNA from 1 species
CGCACAUUGCGCCCCUUGGUAUUCCAUGGGGCAUGCCUGUUCGAGCGUCAUUUGUACUCUCAAGCUUUGCUUGGUGUUGGGUGCUGUCUAGCUACUAGACUCGCCUUAAAAGAAUUGGCAGCCAGCGUAUUGGUCUUGAGCGCAGCACAUUUUGCACUCUAGCCAGCUACUUCUGGUACCCAAAAGCCUUUUACAAUCGCUUGACCUCGGAUCAGGUAGGGAUACCCGCUGAACUUAA